rnacentral:pre_miRNA from 1 species
UAAUGAUAAUGGUGAUGGUGAUGGCGAUGAUGAUGAUAAUAAUGAUAAUAAUAUCAUCAUCAUAAUCACCAUCGGUUUAU